rnacentral:lncRNA from 1 species
AGAAGAGCUGAGCGGCGCAUAUACGUUCAAUCCUCUCCCUCAUUUUCAAGAGAGUCAAUGAAAAUAUAGAUAGUUUAUCAUCUAAUAGAGAGAGUUGCAUGUGUUUUAACCACUCAACCUACCAAGGAAUCAAACUAUCAUUUAAACUUUCACAACAACAAUGAAACUGUAGCAACUCCGCCUUCCACAAAGACCGCCAGAAGUUGUGUACUUUCUUCCUUCACUAGACAACCGUUAGAAAAGGUGCAAGGUACAAAAAGUGGAAAUUAUCAGUCUGUUUGAGGUAGCAUGAACUUUUUUUUUCUUUCAAAUUUCUGUUAAUUGGGAAAUACAUAUUAAUGUUAUGUGAUUGAAGUGUUUAUCUACUAUAGUCUAUAUCUAUG